GAUGAAGAACGCAGCGAAAUGCGAUAAGUAAUGCGAAUUGCAGAAUUCCAGUGAAUCAUCGAAUCUUUGAACGCACCUUGCACCCUUUGGCAUUCCGAAGGGUAUGCUCGUUUGAGUGUCAUUGUACUCUCACACUUCCGAUCUUUGGAUUGGGAGCGGUGGACUUGGGUGUUGCUGCUUACUGUGGCUCACCUCAAAUCGAUUCGUGCACCUCUUGGUUGGACAUAGUACGGCGUGAUAAGUGUCUUCGCCGGCACCUCAGUAGAGGGUGGCUGAUCGGGAGCUCUGCUUCAAACCGUCCUCGGACAACAACUGACAACUUGACCUCAAAUCGAGUAGGACUACCCGCUGAACUUAAGCAUAUCAAUAAGCGGAGGA
rnacentral:misc_RNA from 1 species